rnacentral:rRNA from 1 species
GACGAACGCUGGCGGCGUGCUUAACACAUGCAAGUCGAACGGAGUGGCGAACGGGUGAGUAACGCGUAAUCAACCUGCCCUUCAGAGGGGGACAACAGUUGGAAACGAAUGCUAAUACCGCAUACUGAAGGAGGAGAUUGCGUCUGAUUAGCUCGUGGGAGGGGGAACGGCCCACCAAGGCGAAGGUCAGUAGACGGUCGUAGAGGAUGAACGGGCACAUUGGGAAUGGGACACGGCCCAGACUCCUACGGGAGGCAGCAGUGGGGAAGCUUCCGACAUGGACGAAAGUCUGACGGAGCAACGCCCCGUGAGUGAGGACGGGCUUCGGGUUGUAAAGCUCUGUUAAUCGGGACGCGGUACCGGAAUAGAAAGCAACGGCUAACUACGUGCCAGCAGCCGCGGUAAUAC